AAUUGGCGGGAGUAACCGAGAUGCUGUUGACUACGCGCAGAAAACAACUAUUGAUUAGUUUAGCUCCCACAUUGCUCUCCUAACCGCUAUUUAUAAGCUGUAUUCGGUUAAUGUGGAGGUUGUAUCAAAAAUUUCCACUACUAUCAUUAGAUUUUCUAUGAUUCAAUUCUAUUUUCAUUAAACAACCUAUGAAUCAAAACAACGUUUUUCUACUUAUGAAGAAGCGGUUGAUACGUUCAAAUCACAUGUUUUGGAGGUACCUCAUUCAGAAUGGAACAAAUGCUUCGUCAAUUGGUUCAAACACAUGUAAAUAUGUAUUGACCCCAAUGGAGAAUAUUUCGAAAAACAAUAAAGCUAUAUUCAAUUAUAAA